UACGUAGGGUUCGAGCGUUGUCCGGAAUUAUUGGGCGUAAAGAGCUCGUAGGCGGUGUGUCACGUCGAUCGUGAAAACUUUCAGCUUAACUGGGAGCUUGCGGUCGAUACGGGCAUCACUGGAGUUCGGCAGGGGAGACUGGAAUUCAAGGUGUAGCGGUGAAAUGCGCAGAUAUCAGGAGGAACACCGGUGGCGAAGGCGGGACUCUGGGCCGAUACUGACGCUGAGGAGCGAAAGCGUGGGGAGCAAACAGG
rnacentral:rRNA from 1 species